UAAGGAAUAUUGGUCAAUGGGCGGAAGCCUGAACCAGCCAUGCCGCGUGCAGGAAGACGGCCCUAUGGGUUGUAAACUGCUUUUGCAGGGGAAUAAACCUCGUUAUGUAUAACGAGCUGAAUGUACUCUGAGAAUAAGGAUCGGCUAACUCCGUGCCAGCAGCCGCGGUAAUACGGAGGAUCCAAGCGUUAUCCGGAUUUAUUGGGUUUAAAGGGUGCGUAGGUGGCUUAUUAAGUCAGGGGUGAAAGACGGUAGCUUAACUAUCGCAGUGCCUUUGAUACUGAUGAGCUUGAAUGAACUAGAGGUAGGCGGAAUGUGACAAGUAGCGGUGAAAUGCAUAGAUAUGUCACAGAACACCAAUUGCGAAGGCAGCUUACUAUGGUUUUAUUGACACUGAGGCACGAAAGCGUGGGGAUCAAAC
rnacentral:rRNA from 1 species